GAUGACCUUCAGGGCAGGGUGAAAUUCCUGACCGGCGGUAAUGACGAAAGCAGCGUCUGAGCCCGCGACUCGCCCAUGGCUGAAGCCAUGAGCGACUGACUUGGUGAAAAUCCAAGGCCGACGGUUACAGUCCGGAUGGGAGAAGGUGCAU
rnacentral:ncRNA from 2 species